AUGGAUGUUCUUCUUAGCAAGCUUUGGGAUGAAAUGGGUGUUUCCAGAGACUAUGAGAAAUUUGCUCCUCAAAUGGAAGGAAGGUUAAGGGAAUGGAUAAGAAGAGACACCAUGUUCGGUGAAUGGCUCCCUUGUAUAUGGGUUGGGCUGGCGAGGUGGAAGAUGUUUUUUACGCAUUUGUUGGCAGAUAGUGGGUUUGAUGUGUGGAUUGCAAACACUCGUGGAACCAAGUAUAGCCGUGGGCAUACUUCGUUGGAUCCUGGGGACUCGGCUUUUUGGGAUUGGUCAUGGGAUGAGUUGGUAUCAUAUGACCUUCCUGCUAGCUUCCAGUAUGUACAUGACCAAACAGGACAGAAACUGCACUAUGUUGGGCAUUCCCUGGGUACUCUGAUUGCUUUGGCUGCCUUUUCCCAGAAUCAGCUGUCUUGCUUAGCCCAAUUGCUUAUGUGGGUCAAAUGACAUCCCCACUAGCAAGAAAUGCUGCUGAUAAUUUUAUAGCUGAAUCCUUGUACUGGUUGGGUCUCGAAGUGAACAGGGAUGCUGUAGUUAAUCUUCUAAAAGCCAUCUGCAAGAAACCCGGUGUUGACUGCACUGACUUGUUGACUUCUUUUACAGGUAAUAUCCAUGUUCUUGAUUUUCUAAUCAGCACUAUGUCUUUUGAAAAGGUCAUCUUCCAUAAUGACUUACAUUGUGUUGUAUCUGCGGGCCAAAACUGCUGCCUCAACUCUUCCAGUGUAGAUGUUUUUCUAGAGCAUGAGCCUCAAUCAACAGCAACAAAGAACACAAUCCAUCUAUCUCAGAUGAUCAGAGAAGGAACAUUAGCUAUGUACGACUACAAGGACGAGGAUGAGAACAUGGAACACUAUGGGCAGCCUACUCCUCCUGUGUACAACAUGACAACCAUUCCAAAUGACCUUCCUCUCUUCCUCAGCCAUGGUGGGCAGGAUGCACUUUCUGAUGUUAAUGAUGUGCAACUCCUGCUGGAAAGCCUCAAAGAUCAUGAUGGAGAUAAGCUUGUGGUGCAGUACAGAGAGGACUAUGCACAUGCAGAUUAUGUUAUGGCUUCCAAUGCCAAGCAAGCUGUGUAUGAUCCUCUCAUGGCUUUCUUCAAGCUUCAAUAAACUGGGAAAAAGUUUGUCAACUAUAGUCUGAUUUUGUUAUACAUUUUCCUUGGUGUGAAAAAUUGUAUUCCAACUGUCAUAGUAGCUUUUAUGCUAAUAAAGCUAAAUUUUUUGAGUUA